rnacentral:rRNA from 1 species
ACGAACGCUGGCGGCGUGCCUCAUCCAUGCAAGUCGAGCGAGUCUGCCUUGAAGAUCGGAGUGCUUGCACUCUGUGAAACAAGAUACAGGCUAGCGGCGGACGGGUGAGUAACACGUGGGUAACCUGCCCAAGAGAUCGGGAUAACACCUGGAAACAGAUGCUAAUACCGGAUAACAACAGAUGAUGCCUAUCAACUGUUUAAAAGAUGGUUCUGCUAUCACUCUUGGAUGGACCUGCGGUGCAUUAGCUAGUUGGUAGGGUAACGGCCUACCAAGGCGAUGAUGCAUAGCCGAGUUGAGAGACUGAUCGGCCACAUUGGGACUGAGACACGGCCCAAACUCCUACGGGAGGCAGCAGUAGGGAAUCUUCCACAAUGGACGCAAGUCUGAUGGAGCAACGCCGCGUGAGUGAAGAAGGGUUUCGGCUCGUAAAGCUCUGUUGUUGGUGAAGAAGGACAGGGGUAGUAACUGACCUUUGUUUGACGGUAAUCAAUGAGAAAGUCACGGCUAACUACGUG